CGAUAACAAUUGGAAAGUUUUCAAAGCAAACCCAAACAAAAAAAACAGGACGAAAAAGGAAGCAACGCACAGAUAAUAAUAUUAUUUUUUAUAUUUUACAGGACCCACAACGAAAGCUAAGCAAACGUCUAGCUGAACUCAAGCUAAAUUAGCAUGGAUCGCAGAGCAACAACAGCAAACAAAUUCCAAACAAUUGCCCGAAAAUUGUUAUGAAACUCAAACAAAUUGUAAAAUGUUUAUUGCUCAUAUUUCUCUACUGCAAUGACAAUCAAUUCAGUAAAUGGACAAACAAAACGCAACAACAAAAACAACAAAACCAGCUAAAUUCGAAGCGCCUUAAGAAACUGCAGUGUGGCUGCCCGCAGACCAAACCAGCAGCAUUGUGCCCCAAACAAGAGACCAGGCCAGCAAAUCAUACAGAAUUCAGACAAAAAUUGCAAGGAAGGAAACCUAAAUUCAAGUUAGCAACAAUAACAAAAUCAACAUUCGUAAAUAAUGGCACAAAUGCCGCGACGGCGCUGAUGAUGAUGACAAAGACGAAGAUCAAGAGCAUUUGACGGCGAAAGGAGCAGGCAGCAGCAGCCAAUUAUCUAAGGCAGCAGCUAAACUGGGGACACAGUCGCCCCGCCGCAGAUAUUUAGCUGAAUAUAUCUAAGCUGGGGCGGCUGCCCCACAAAAGCAGCAGCACCAGCAGCAACCCCUAGACAGGAAGCCCUUCAAACACACACUCACACGCACACAGACACACAAACGAGCCAAGUUCCUGCGGCGAAUUCAAUACAAGCACAACACACCCAUACAGUUACUGCCAGCAAGAGCGCAGCCAGAGAAAUAUAGAGAGCGAGAGCGAGCGAGCAAGAGAGUGUAAUAACGAGGAGAGCGCAACACGAGAGCACCUUUGACAACCCAAAAAAGCGCGCAACGAAAACCAAAUUUCGCAACCCCGCUCUUUAGAGCAAUCUAAAAUCAAAGAAUUAUUUAAAAGCAAAAUACAAAAUCAAAAAAAAAAUUCUAAUGGAAACCAGUCAAAAGCAGCGAUUUUCCAUUAACAGCCAAAUACGAAAAUAUCAAAAUCUCAAGAAAAUUAUAGCCAUUUAGCAUACUGCGAAUAAUACAAACAAAAAGAAACCCUCUUCUUCCACGGCAUCGCAGAAGCCUUCAUUUCCAACCCCGUACCGAGCACCCCCCCUGUUGACCACCAAAUUUCACACACACAAUGCAAUAGUUUUUCAUUUUGUGUAACAAAACGCAAAUCGAAUAAUGAACAAAAUUUUAAAUUUG